CCCCAUUGUACACACCGCCCGUCGCUACUACCGAUUGAAUGAUUUAGUGAGGUCUUCGGACUGGUGCGCGGCAAUGCGUCGGCAUUGCCGAUGUUGCCGGGAAGAUGACCAAACUUGAUCAUUUAGAGGAACUAAAAGUCGUAACAAGGUUUCCGUAGGUGAACCUGCGGAAGGAUCAUUA
rnacentral:ncRNA from 1 species